rnacentral:siRNA from 1 species
AUUACAAACUAUUAUUUCUUUGAC